rnacentral:rRNA from 1 species
UACGAAGGGGGCUAGCGUUGCUCGGAAUCACUGGGCGUAAAGCGCACGUAGGCGGCUUUCUAAGUCAGGGGUGAAAUCCUGGAGCUCAACUCCAGAACUGCCUUUGAUACUGGCGACCUUGAGUCCGGGAGAGGUGAGUGGAACUGCGAGUGUAGAGGUGAAAUUCGUAGAUAUUCGCAAGAACACCAGUGGCGAAGGCGGCUCACUGGCCCGAUACUGACGCUGAGGCACGAAAGCGUGGGGAGCAAACAGG